rnacentral:rRNA from 1 species
GAUGAACGCUGGCGGCGUGCCUAAUACAUGCAAGUCGAGCGAACAGACGAGGAGCUUGCUCCUCUGACGUUAGCGGCGGACGGGUGAGUAACACGUGGAUAACCUACCUAUAAGACUGGGAUAACUUCGGGAAACCGGAGCUAAUACCGGAUAAUAUAUUGAACCGCAUGGUUCAAUAGUGAAAGACGGUUUUGCUGUCACUUAUAGAUGGAUCCGCGCCGCAUUAGCUAGUUGGUAAGGUAACGGCUUACCAAGGCGACGAUGCGUAGCCGACCUGAGAGGGUGAUCGGCCACACUGGAACUGAGACACGGUCCAGACUCCUACGGGAGGCAGCAGUAGGGAAUCUUCCGCAAUGGGCGAAAGCCUGACGGAGCAACGCCGCGUGAGUGAUGAAGGUCUUCGGAUCGUAAAACUCUGUUAUUAGGGAAGAGCAAAUGUGUAAGUAACUAUGCACGUCUUGACGGUACCUAAUCAGAAAGCCACGGCUAACUACGU